GCCGCGGUAGCCUAGUUGGUAGAGGCAUCGGCACAAAAAGUCGCAGCAGGUUCAAAUUCUGCCUGCAGUA